rnacentral:misc_RNA from 1 species
GCAAACUUGGUCAUUUAGAGGAAGUAAAAGUCGUAACAAGGUCUCCGUAGGUGAACCUGCGGAGGGAUCAUUGCCAAAUGGCCAUGAGCCUUUAACCUUUCAACUCGUGGAAUUAUCAUUGUGUUUCGGCGCUACAGCGCCGUAUUUAUGCUGAUAAUUGUUUUUGUGUCUGAAUAAAAUCUAAGAAUUAAAACUUUCAACAAAGGAUCUCUUGGCUCUCGCAUCGAUGAAGAACGCAGC